rnacentral:rRNA from 1 species
AGGGGCUUCGGCUCCGAGUAAAGCGGCGCACGGGUGCGUAACACGUGGGUAAUCUUCCUCCGGGUUGGGAAUAACUCUUCGAAAGGAGAGCUAAUACCGAAUAAGCCCACGUCCCCUUCGGGGGACGAGGGAAAAGGUGGCCUCUGCAUGCAAGCUAUCGCCUGGAGAUGAGCCCGCGGCCCAUCAUGCUAGUUGGCGGGGUAACGGCCCACCAAGGCUACGACGGGUAGCUGGUCUGAGAGGACGAUCAGCCACACUGGAACUGAGACACGGUCCAGACUCCUACGGGAGGCAGCAGUGGGGAAUCUUGCGCAAUGGGCGAAAGCCUGACGCAGCAACGCCGCGUGAGUGAUGAAGGCCUUCGGG